UUCAUGACAAUGGACCCACUCCACAAUAAUGGAAUAAUCCAGGCAGAGCCCUCAUGGCCUAAUCAUCUCCUAAAGAUGAUACCGAGUCAGGUAGACCCACUCGGUGAAGGCCUUACUUUCUCACCUGUGACUAGAAGCAAUAAUUCAGAAGUAUAUCAGAGAGAUGGGGAAGAACACCUUAUUUCUGUAAUACUACUCUGUACAGAUAAAAGAGCAUUUGGAAAACAGAGAAAUGUGGAAGAAAAAAGAUCAUUGAUAGCCUCAUCAUGCAAAAGCAAUUUCUACUAACACUUUGGGAGCAUCAGUCUCCAGGGUAUGUGUUUUUGUUUUUGUUUCAAUGCAUGCUGUUUCAGUACUCUUCAUGUAUUCACGGUCUAUUUAUGGCAUAUAUCUGGAUUUGUAUAAUACUCUCUCUUAAUAUGCUAUAUUGCAAGCAUAUCUCAUGUUAUAAUAAAUACUUUGUUAACAUUAUUUUAAAAACUGUAUAAAGAGUAGAUUAAUUGAAUGUACCAUAGUUAUUACAUCUACAUUUUGUUUUCCACUAGUAAUAUAUAAGACAUUUAUAUCCACAAAUCUUUCCUUAACAUUCAAAACUACCAACCCGGGUACACAUUUUAAUUUCAAUGUAAUUGACAAGGCAACUAAGAGAGCCAGUAGUGAGUAAAAUUCAAGGUCUACAAAGUUUGCCUUUUGACUCGUAAUACAGUUCUCAUUCCACCACACAACCCUGACUCUUUUAGAUUGGAUAUGUUCAAAGGAAGUAAUGCUUAUUAUUUAUCUUCCUUCAAAAAGGAGUAGUAUAGUUUAAUCAUAGGCAAACAUUUACUCCAGUGGGUUCUGAUGACAUUCCUAUUUCUCUGUGUGAAGCCCUAGUCUUCGAUCUCCCUAAAGAUCCUUCUUUAAGUCUUCUAAGUCCUAUCCUAUGUCCAGGGGUUACUCCUGAUGAAGGGAAGGAAGAAUUAUCAGUGGCAACAAGUAGUUUGCACCCUGGUUGAGGAGUUCUCUGGAGAAUGGAAUCAUAACUAUACUCUGGCAAAUUAGUCUAUCUUCUCACUUGGUGAUUUGGAAAUAGAAAUGUAUUAUGAGAGCAAGAAAUCUACAAUGAUGAGGAUUCUGGAUGUAUCAAGUCGGAGUGCAUUUUCUGUAUUUCAAGUUUUUCAAAAAACCAAAUCAGAAAGAUGCAUCUGAUUAUUAGUUUUGUUAUUUGUCAUGUUUUAAUAUGCGGUUUGCAUGUACAUGACUCAUCUUCCCACCUCAUUUUAAGAUCUUUGAAGUACAGAAUCAGAUCUCAGUUUCCUAAAUAUAAGAAUCACUACAAAAAUCCCAUAAAAUGGCAUGCAUUAUUUACAUGUUAUAAACUACUUUUCUCUGGACAAAAAGGUAAACAAAAUGUUGCUCCACUAAAUUAUUCAGAUAUUCUUCUGGCCAUGUUCGUACUCCUGAAAAUUCAUCAGGAUGCAUAAAUAUUCACAUAUCUUUAUGAAGAAGUAUUACAGAUUGUGUAUAUUUAUGGUAGUGAAUCAUUUUUUUUUCUACUAUAUAGGAUUUACACUGUCCUUGAAUGUCUCAUAGCAAAAGUCUGGUAUUUUGAUAAUAUGCAGAGGGCCAACUGUCAUGGCUUUGCCAUAUUAUUUUAUUUGAGGCCAUUUCAUGUGUAUUCAUAUUUCAGAGACCAAUCUGUUGAAAAGUACUAUUGGUGCUAGAAUAUUACUACACCAAAACCUAUCUUGGUAGAAAAUAAUUCUGCAAAUAAAAUAUAUAUUUGGAUCUUUUCUUUCAGUUAUAGAAAUUAUAUGAACCAAAAAAUAUGUGAGUAAUUACUGAUGGAUCAGAGAUUCUGGUUGGGAAUGUAAUGAAAUAAAGAAUUACUCAUUUCUCAAGUGGGAUAAGUUUAUAGUGGCUAUUACUUUUCCAUGACAGAAAUAGCCACAAGCUUCAAUUUUUAAUGACCUUGACAGAAUAGCUCCCUAUGGUUCAAUUUUAAAAAUUUACCGAAAAUACAUUUUUGCUAGUGGGAAAGAAGAUUGUCACUCAUAUUCUUGCUAUUGCAAGCAAAAUUUUAAACGUAGGUUUUAUUCUAAAUGACUCAAAAUAUUGACAUAAAAAAAUUACAAGAAAACACAGUAGAGUCUUCUUCAAGAAGAGAUGAAGAAGUCAAAAUGCUAGUAAAGAAAGAUAUGCACGCACACUAUCUCUCUGGCAAAAUGAAAUUCUUUCUUAGCUGUACACCCCGUGUCAUUGAUGAAUGCAGAAAAAUCAAGCGAGGGACUUGCUUGAACAAUAGUGCAUCUUCUGUUACAGGGUUGUUACAAUUCUCUCGUCUAGUACUUAUUCAUAUGGACCUUAUAUAAGAACUUGUUUAGUCACAUUUAUGAAUGCUAUCAUUGAUUUCUAUGGUCUGUAGUGAAAGCUCUGAGCAUAUUCUUCAAAUGUCACUUGAGAACUUCUAAAAAUCUCUUGCAUGUGUAUAGUCCAGCACAUGUACAAAAAUAUUCACAGUUCAUGAUAGAUAAACAGGCAAGUAACCACAGAAAAAUUUUUAAUCCCAAACUGACAACAACUGCAAAAUACAUUUACAAUGAAAACAGACAAAUUAAAAUAAUGGCAUAUUCAUUUCAAACAAAACUACACGUUGCUGAAAAGCAAUGACCUAUGUUAUACACAUUAACAUGGAUAAAUCUCAAAAGUUUUUUUUUCUAAAAAACAAGUCAUAGAAGAAUACAUACAAUACUAAUCCAUUCAUAUAAACUUGGAAAAUAGUAAUACUUAACAAGUGGUAAAAAUAUAAAGAUAAAUAAGAAAUAAUUAAACAGGUUUUUUGGUUAGGUUAAAUGCAAUCUUAUUUUUUUUUAAAGUUCUGUUAGGCAAUCAUAUAAGCUUUUUAAAAAUUAUUACUUAUUCUACAUAAAUUUUAUAGAACUUCUGUAUGUAUGAUACUUUCACAAAAGGCAAACAUUUCAAAGUCUUGUUUAAAAUAAAUUACAAAAAAUGCUUUACUGUAAUAAUAUUAUUUAGAAUAAUAAAUAAUACAAGGGCAUAGGAAUCAUGAGAAAUUCUCCAGAGAGCUAGCGUUCAGACCCAGGUUGAAAUUCCACUGCUGCUACUGACAAUAAGAGCUUUGGGCAAUUUAUUUAAAUUCACUAAAGACAGUUUUAUUAUAUUUAACCUAAGGAUAAUUCACAGUCAUUGCUCUACGAUAGAAUUGUUGUUAGGUUCAAAUCAGCUCUUGAAAACAUUGGUUCAUAUGCAGUUCAAAUUUAGAGUUUAAAAAAUUUUGAAUUCAUAAAUGUUAAAAGAAUAUGGAUUAUACAGUCAAAUUCUAUAAUAUUGAAAACAACGCUUCUUGAAAACUUGGAUACAUCUUCAAAUCUAAGUCACAAUAUGCCAUGGGUUUUUCAAUUAUUGCAUUUAUUUCUAACAUUCUCAAGUGUCAAAUGCCAUUAAGUCUUUGAUAUUGAUGGAUUAAAAAAUAGCUUUCCACUAUGAUAUCAAUUAUAAAACUCAGAGAAAAGCAGAAGUUCCAGAAUUAUAGCUGAUCAAUAUACCCAAUGGCUGUUUUGCUAAAAAUCAAUUUCCUGAAAAUGUCUUUACUGAGGGUUCAAUAUUCAAAAUAGCGAAUUCAUGAAUUGACAAAAUAUUCCAACUUGCCAACAAUGUAGCUUUACCUAAUGCACUUUUUCUGUUCCAGAAUCCUACCUAGGAUACAUGACAUUUAGUUAUGACGUCUCCUUAUGCUCCUCUUGGGUGUGAGUUUCUCAGACUUGCCUUGUUUUUGAUGGGUGUAAGAGUUUUGAACAGUUCCAGUCAGGUAUAUAUUAUACGAUGUUUCUCAGAGGGGAUUUGUUUGAUUUUUGUCCCAUCAUUAGACUGGUGUUAGGAGGAGGACCACAGAGGUAAAGGGACAUUUCCAACACAUCACUUCGAGGAUACACACUAUCAACAUAACAUUACUGUUGAUGUUGAACUGUCAGGUUUCUGACCUGUCAGAUUGUAAAAUCACUCUUUUUCUCCCUAGUUUCAUACUGUACCCUUUGGAAAGAAGUUGCUAUGUGCAACCCACUCUUAAUGAGUUGGGAGAUAUGCUCCACUUCCUUGAUAGAAAAUUCUCUACGUAUCAUAAAUUAUUUAAAAUUAUUUUACAUUCUUUGUUUCUUUUUGUAUUUUGUAUUCUUUAGAAGUUUGACUUUUUCAGGAUUCCAUGUAACUGGAAUUAUAUAGUAUGUAACCUUUCCUAUUUAGUAAUAUAUAUUAAGAUUCAACCGUGCCUUUUUGUGGCCUGAUAGCUCAUUUAUUUUUAUCUUUUGUGACACAGUUUAUUGAUAGCUCAUUUCUUUUUAUGUUUUGUGACAGAAUUUAUGUAUCUAGUCACCUACUAAAAUACUCCUUUAUAAAUAAAGACUCUAUAAGCAUUCACAUAUGGAUUUUUUAUUGAUAUAAAUUAACUGGAUAAAAGCCUAAUAGAACAAUUGUAUCAAAUGGUGAGAUCAUGUUUAGCUUUGUAAGAAAAUGCCAAUUUGUCUUCCAAAGUGACUAUACCAUUUGGCAUUCUCGCCAGCAAUAAAUUAGUUUCUGUUGCUAUACAUCUUCAUCAGCCAUUAGUAUUGCCAGUUGAUUUUUUUUUUUAAAAAUUAGCCAUUAUAGUAGGCAUAUAGGGGUAUGUAAAGGACAAUUUGGAACUUGUUUCAAAAAUUCAAAAUUAUAAACAAUUACACAGCCACUAAUGUAUCAAGUAUAUAAGCUUGCAAAUAGAUAGAUAGAUAGAUGAUAGAUAGAUAGAUAGAUGAUAGAUAGAUAGAUAGAUGAUAGAUAGAUAGAUGAUAGAUAGAUAGAUGAAUUGAUAGCUUUAUUAUUGAUAUCUGUAUCUAUAAAUAGUUAUGAGCUGCAUAACAAUGUUUUGGUCAAUUAUUGAUCACAUAUAAGAUGAUGGUCUCAUGAGAUUAUGAUGAAGCUGAAAAAUUCCUAUUGCCUAGUGACACUGAGCCAUUGUAAUACCCAAGUACAGCACAUUACUCAUCUCUUUGUGGUGAUGUUGGUGUAAACAAACCUACUUUGCUGCCAGGAGUAUAAAAUGAUAGCACAUAAAAUUAUGAACAGUACAUAAUACUUGAUAAUAAUAAUAAACAAAUAUGUUAAUGCUUUAUGUAUUUAAUACACUAUACAUUUCAUCAUUAUUUUAAAGUGUACACAUUCUACUUAUAAAAUAAUGUUAACUGUAAAAUAGCCACAGGCAGGUCCUUCUGAAGGUAUUCCAGAAGAAGGCAUUACUAUGAUAAGAGAUGACAGCUUCAGACUGCCUGUCUAGAUUCCUCCUCUUUGUGCAGGGCUACUCUGAAAGAAAGGCACCCGCCCCAGGCAGGAGCUUAUAGAUAAAACUCCCCUCUCCCUUGGACAGUGCACCUAGGGGAAGGGGCAACUGUAGGCACAGCUUCAGCAGACUUAAACAUUCCUGCCUGCCAGCUCUGAAGAGAGCAGUGGAUCUCCCAG